AUGUCUGGUCGUACAAAGAAGCAGGAGGCGAUGGGUUUCUUCAAACCCUAAAAUCCUUACUAAAACUCUCAAAUUGGAGGUGCAAAUAUGGUCCAAAACGAAAAUCGAGCAUAGAUUACUGAUCCCCAUUGCAAGGGGGUUGUAAGUUUGACUCUUGACAAGCUAGAUGGAGGCUUGGAAUGAAGCGGGUCAAACGGAGCAAGUACGAAAAGGAAAGCGUAAUUUGGAUGCGAGGUUGUAAAUAUGACAAAAGCUAUAUUUGAAAUAUGGUUCCGACACGAAAUUAAAAACGGGUCGGGACAUAUAAAAUAAUGAUAAACCAUGUUUAAUGGUAAAAUGGGCGAAAUGGUAAUUGGUCACGAGAUGACAUAUAUAUAAAAUGAGUUUUUGAAUGGCUACUUAUUAAGGUAAGCCUAAACGAAUAAAAAGAGUAAAACGACGAAUUAGUCAUGUGUAGACGAAAAAGAGUUGAAGUUUAAAACAACACCAUUUAAUAUUAAGCACAAAAUAUUUGGUAGUCUAGACCAAACGGGUCAAAUGGUAAUAUUUAUACCAUUUGAUAAUUAACGACUAAUAAGUGUAUGUCGAGUCUCAUGCUCGCAGGGUAAUUGGUUUAUGAAUUAGCGAGGCUAUGAAUUAGCAUAUUAUAGAGACAAGGUCUUAAAACGGGUCAAUAUGUUGACCCGAGCCAGGUACGCUUAUAUAUAUAGAUGUAUAGUUAAAAGUGUUUAACUUCCCUUCACGGGUCAAAAGGAGUAGAUAGGUAAAACGGGUUAAGAAUUCAUAAGAAACCCGUAAUUUGAACCUUGCACAUUAGUAAAUUGAUAUAACGUGAUAUGCAUGAUAUUUUGAAUAUGAUUGAUUGAUCUUUGAUAUUGGUUCAUAUGUAACAUAUUAGAAUUUCGAGAAACUAAUGUAUUGGUAUGUUAGAAAGAGCGAAAUCCGAGAUUUAGGCUUGAGUAUAAUGAACAAAGCAACCAAAAGAUGGAUUUACAGGGACUACCGUAAGUUACGGUAGAGGUCAGGAGCUUACGGUGUGAGUCUACUGGUUUACGGUGGACCAUUAUUGGAAAUUGACCACCGUAACUUACGGUGAAACCGUAAGUUACGGUAGGGCCUGAAUGUUUAUAAAUUUUAUAUAAUUGUAAAUUUUCAAAUUCAUUUCGAUCGUAGUUUCGAUCAAGUAUCAUUUCUAAGCAUUCUAAUAUAAAUGUUUAUGUAAACAUUUCAGUCUUAGGUACUCAAGGAUUAUGGGUGACGAUCAAGCAACUUUUGAAGGACCGAACACAUACUCUUGAAGCUUCCGCAUAAAUCAAGUCGGUUUAAACAAUGUUUAUGAUGUAAACUGUUUGCUAUACAACUUUUGAAAUGUUUAAACGACGUACUCAAUUAUGUUAUGUUGUAUUAUUUUAAAAUUGUAACGU
rnacentral:lncRNA from 1 species